CCUACGGGAGGCAGCAGUGGGGAAUAUUGGGCAAUGGGCGCAAGCCUGACCCAGCAACGCCGCGUGAAGGAAGAAGGCUUUCGGGUUGUAAACUUCUUUUAAGAGGGAAGAGCAGAAGACGGUACCUCUUGAAUAAGCCACGGCUAACUACGUGCCAGCAGCCGCGGUAAUACGUAGGUGGCAAGCGUUGUCCGGAUUUACUGGGUGUAAAGGGCGUGCAGCCGGGAAGACAAGUCAGAUGUGAAAUCCCGCGGCUCAACCGCGGAACUGCAUUUGAAACUGUUUUUCUUGAGUACCGGAGAGGUAAUAGGAAUCACUGGGGGAGCGGGGGAAGGAGUAGAUAUAAGGAAGAA
rnacentral:rRNA from 1 species